UACGUAGGAGGCGAGCGUUAUCCGGAGUUACUGGGCGUAAAGCGUGCGCAGGCUGUUUUGUAAGUCAGAUGUGAAAUCCCCGAGCUCAACUUGGGAACUGCAUCUGUGACUGCAUAGCUAGAGUACGGUAGAGGGGGAUGGAAUUCCGCGUGUAGCAGUGAAAUGCGUAGAUAUGCGGAGGAACACCGAUGGCGAAGGCAAUCCCCUGGACCUGUACUGACGCUCAUGCACGAAAGCGUGGGGAGCAAACAGG
rnacentral:rRNA from 1 species